AGCAGCCGCGGUAAUUCCAGCUCCAAUAGCGUAUAUUAAAGUUGUUGCAGUUAAAAAGCUCGUAGUUGAAUUUCGGGGUCAGUAGGUUGGUCGUGCCACUGGUAUGUACUGGCUUCACUGAUUCCUCCUUCUUGAAGAACUGUAAUGUCAUUAAUUUGGUGUUGCAGGGAAACAGGACUGUUACUUUGAAAAAAUUAGAGUGUUUAAAGCAGGCUAACGCUUGAAUACAUUAGCAUGGAAUAAUGAAAUAGGACGUUUGACCCUAUUUUGUUGGUUUCUAGGAUCGACGUAAUGAUUAAUAGGGAUAGUUGGGGGCAUUAGUAUUCAAUUGUCAGAGGUGAAAUUCUUGGAUUUAUUGAAGACUAACUACUGCGAAAGCAUUUGCCAAGGAUGUUUUCAUUAAUCAAGAACGAAAGUUAGGGGAUCGAAGACGAUCAGAUACCGUCGUAGUCUUAACCAUAAACUAUGCCGACUAGGGAUCGGAUGAUGUUAAUUUUUAAUGACUCAUUCGGCGCCUUAC
rnacentral:rRNA from 1 species